UUGUCGCGGGUUGAAAUUUUGCAGGGUUGUUGAAAUCAAAUUUAGGGACUUUACUGACGGGACUCUGGGCUGGCUGCUCUGUUCACUCGUCAGCGCAAGUGGCGUGACCAUGUAAUUGGGGCACGGGGCCGGCGCGGCGCGCUGCGGGCUUGCAGAAUUUUGUUUGUUUGUUUGGCCGCGCGCUGGCGCAGCCACGGGCCGCAGUUACUGGGGCGCGCUGUCGUAACAAGCCGCGCGGUGUGGCCUGCACAUUGGGGUAGAGGGGGGGUAGUCUUCCCAGAUGUUCUAGUUAGUUGUUUAGUAAAUUUGACUUCAAUAACGAGCUUUUGUUAUGGUAGGCGCGGCAGGGCGCGCGAAUUGAAGCGCAAGUGAGUGGUGACUCGGGGCUCACUCAGGCGGAGGCUAUGCGUCUCACCUGUGGUCACGAGUUGUUAGUUCGUUCGUGAUGUAGGAAUUCAAGCUUUCGGGCGGAAGCUAUGGCCGACGCCAGAGGCCACGAGUCGUUUAAUUUAAGUUAGGUCAUAAUGUAGUCAUCUUCAAGCUUUCGGGCGGAGGCAAUGGCCCUUGUCACUAGUCGUUUAGUUAUAAUUUUUUAAAAUGUAAUGUUCGUUCGGAUUUUAAGGGCAGGAGAGGCCCCUACGUUAGUUUUAAGUAAUCGAUCAAGAAAGGCUUUUCGGAAAAUGUGAGUAUGGACUUAUCUUUGUUUUAAUUUUAAGUAUUAAUUAUGAUUUGAGGUAUUCGGAAGGACUAGGGAAGUGUUUAGUGAAGUUCUCUCAUUCUCUCUCUUGUAAGGUCGUUCAAUCGUUAAGGAAGUAAAGAGAUUAUUGUUUUAAAUUGUAAUCCCGCUAUUUAAAUGUUCUUUAAAAUGAUGUUGAGUAUUUGACUUUAAGAAUAAAAUAAUUUUAAUUAAGUAUUAUGUUAUUUUGCAAAAUCUCCUUAGUUCAGCUCUCACCAGACAUCCUGUACGGGAUGACGAACCUAUGAUCCUAGGUACAGUAAAGUAUUUUAUGAAGUUAAGACUAGUUGAUGCCAAGCGAGUUGUUUCUAUGUAAAGAGCUACGAUUCUCGCCCCCCCCCCUCUGAAGGUGGAUCGUGACAGAAAUGGUAGAGUUCGCCGGAUAGGUUCUAUUUCUGGAGAGAGAGAGAGGUAGAUUUUUAUGUUUAUUAUUAAGUUAGUUUCAGCUUCUGAUAGCAGGUUAUUAAGAGUUUACUUGAGGAGAGGAUUACGGAAUUUUAGUCUAUAGUGGAGGAAGUCUUUGAGAUUUUUUUUUUGACGUAACAGAUGUUUAUUUGAGGAUACUUGUAAGGAUAAAGUUUAUAGUGAUAAGUUGUUUUAAGUCGUUGAAUUUAUUGUAGAUUUAUAUCGGGGAUUAUUACGUGAGGAGAAUACGUUAUAAGUUAAAUGCUUAUUAGAGAUAAUGCAAGUGGUUUAAUUUAAUUGAAGUUCAUUUUAAGAUUGUAGGUUAAGAGAAUUAUAAUUUAAAAUAAAGUUUUUUGUCGUAAAUAGGAAUUAUUUUCAAGAGAAGUUUGUUUUGUUUUCGUGCGCGUAGGAGACGAGACGUACGAAUUAAAUCAGUCGAGGAAAGGAUAAACGUUAGAAAGGAAUUAAAGAGAAAACGAGAGUUUAUGUAAAAGAGAGUUAUAGAAUUUAUAGUGAUGUUUUGUUUUAAUUAGAAAAAUGUUGAGAGUUGUUUCAGAACGACACGUCAGUGGACGUGGCAGAAUGAACACGUGACGGGGAGGUGCUGAGACCUAGCGGAGAACGGAGGAACCGCAAGCGAGGGUUGGCGCACCUGAUGGAAUUCGGUGACGUCACGGGCUCAUACGGAGACGUGGACAGGCCGUGACCUUGUUUUGAUCAGCUGUACGGUAACUUAACGAUAAGAAAAUAGACUAUUGGUUAAAUAAAUUUAAAUUUAAGUGUGUUUUAGGAGAAGAGGAACUUUCAGUAUAUUCCUUAAGAUGAGCUGAGCAGCAGUCCAGUUUACAAGAUGACAAGAGUUCGAGAGACAAGAUACAAGAUCACUGAAACAAGAGCCAAGACUGAAGAUUCAAGAGAAGAGAAAGCUGGCAGCCAUGGACUUACAAGUGGAGAUUAAUAAGGUCAUGUAAAGUUUUAUUUUUUUUUAUGGAAGACAGUAACUGGAGUUUUUUUUUUGUUAUAAACAUUAUUUACAGAACUUUUUAGGUUAUAGUAAUGUAAUGGAACUAGUGAGUUGUGGUAGCUGUCAAAAAGAACUAAUACCUUAAGUUUAAUUUUUAAAGUUAAUUUUCUUAAUUUACAGAGGGAUUAGUAGUUUUUUUUUAAACCUUAUUUAGGUUGGAAUUUAAAUACAAUAGCUUAUUAUAAAUGUGUACGAACAGUUCAAGUUCACAGUACUGAUAGGUAGGUCAGAUGAUCUUAUUGAUUUUGAUGAUUUGUUGUUUUGAGUUGAUUUUUAAGUGUUGUGAAUUAGACAAUGAAAUAGUUCUGAAAACUUAAAUUAUUUCAAGCUAAGAAAUAGUAAAGUUAAUUGUAACUCAAAGGACACCAGAAUUUAAUUUUUUUUUGAAUUAGUAAUGUUUGAAAAUUUUAUACUUUACAAGAAAGGUUAUAAACAAACAGAUCGGAUGGAACAAGGAUGCAGUAAAUCACAAUUUCAUUUAGAAUUAUUGAUUAGCUUUUGAGGUUAUGAAGUAAAAGUAAUUAUAGUUUAAAAGUUUGAAUAAAAAAAAAUGUUUUUUUUUAUUUGUUUGAAAUAGAAAGUUUAAAAGUUAAUUAGUCAUGAUCUAGGUGGGUGAUGGGGUGGGAAUUGGCCACUCUUUUUCCCUAUAACCUCCCUAACAUGGCCUUCUAUUACAACUAACAGAAAUAAAGAAGAAGAAAAAUGAAGAAUUAUUAGUUAGAAUGUUUCUUUCAUGAAGAUACCUGAUGAACUUUUACUGUUUGGAAGAAUAGAAGCAAGGUUAGUCAGAUAUUUUUACUCAGAA